CCCGCGCACGCCCCGCCCCUCGCGUCCGGAGCGUCCGCACUCGCACUUUCCACACUCUUCUUAAUUGCUUUCCAGCCCUCACCCGACUCUUUUGCAAAAGGAAACCUCCAGACACAGAGCAUGAGCGGGGGAGGGGCAGAGAGAGGAGACAGAAUCCAAAACAGCCUCCGGGCUCUGAGCUGCCAGCACACUACCCGUCCUAGGGCUCGAACUCGUCAACCUGGAGAUCAUGACCUGAGCCGAAGUUGGACGCUAAACCGAUUGAGCCACCAGGUGCCCCAAUGCAUACUAUAUUCUUAACAGUAAUACCUAACUUUGUCUUUUUUUUUUUUUUUUUUUGGCAUUUCUAGGCUAUGCAGUUCCUCUGCAAGUUUUUUCAAAUAGUUGCAAAUCUCCAAAAAUUUUACCAAUAUAUUUAUUGAAAAAAAGUCCACGUGUAAGUGGACGUGUGCAGUUCAAACCCAUGUUGUUCAAGGGUCAAUUGUACUUGAAACCACCUUUUUAAUAUAAAAGCAUCUAAGACUUAUAAAAGAUUAAUGUAAGAUACAUGAAAGCCUCAGCAAGAAUCUCAGUACCUUCUUUCUCUGGUUUUGUCCAGUACCUCCAGCCUGGUUUCUUCCCUGCACUUGGGGUUAUGGUGGGGGGAUUGGGCAAGUGUGGUGCUGGGGCAGGUGUUCCUCUGUGUCAUUUCCAGGCAGUCCUGCAGGUGCCGGAUGUUACACUGUAGUGGGAAAGAGGUGGCACAAAAAUGGCGGAAAAAGAAAAGGGGAUCUGAGUGGAGUAGUGACAUUGAUGCACUUUCCCACCUCCUGGUCUUUGCUUAAAUGUCAUCUUCUCAGUGGGUCUUUUCAGACCUAUUUAAAAUUGCAACUCAUUUCCCAAUCUCUAUCCAUGGUCUGUGCUUUGCUUUGUUUUGUUUUUCUAUAGCUCUUAUCACCACCUGGCAUACUAUGUAUUUAUUUUGUUGCCUUUUUCUUCCCAUCAGAUUGAAAGCUCUUUCAGGGUGGGGACUUUUCAUAUCCGGAACAGUGUAUGGUACAUCCACGUGCUCAAUGUUUGUGGAGUGAAUAAAUAGUUACCUCCUUUUC